rnacentral:rRNA from 1 species
AAUGAACGCUGGCGGCAUGCCUAACACAUGCAAGUCGAACGAAGGCUUCGGCCUUAGUGGCGCACGGGUGCGUAACGCGUGGGAAUCUGCCCUCGGGUUCGGAAUAACAGCGAGAAAUUGCUGCUAAUACCGGAUGAUAUCGCGGGAUCAAAGAUUUAUCGCCUGAGGGUGAGCCCGCGUAGGAUUAGCUAGUUGGUGUGGUAAAGGCGCACCAAGGCGACGAUCCUUAGCUGGUCUGAGAGGAUGAUCAGCCACACUGGGACUGAGACACGGCCCAGACUCCUACGGGAGGCAGCAGUGGGGAAUAUUGGACAAUGGGCGAAAGCCUGAUCCAGCAAUGCCGCGUGAGUGAUGAAGGCCUUAGGGUUGUAAAGCUCUUUUACCCGGGAUGAUAAUGACAGUACCGGGAGAAUAAGCUCCGGCUAACUCCGUGCCAGCCGCCGCCGUAA